CAUGGCCAGCUCUUCAUCAUUCGGUUCACUCUCCCCAUCACUCUCAUAUUUUGAAGUUUUGAGAGCAAUGCUUUUCUUCUUCUCCUCAUGCCCUUUUUCUGCGACCAAAUCUUCUUCAUAUGAAAUGAGAGAACCAAUUAAAUCAUCAAGAGGUAAAGCAUUUAAAUCUUUAGCCUCUUCAAUAGCGGUUCUUUUAGGUCUCCAUUCUUUUGGAAGUGUCCUAAUGAUUUUCUUAACUUUCUCGCUAUUUGAGAAGGUCUUUCCUAGGGCUCCUAGAGUGUUUACUAUGUCCGUAAAUCUCAUAUACAUAGAGUACACACUCUCAUUUUGUUCCAUUUGGAACAACUCAUAUUGUCGAGUGUACCUACUAAUUUUCGACUCUUUCACUUGAUUUGUGCCUUCAUAAACUACUUCAAGUUUGUGCCAAAUUUCAUUAGCACUUUCACAACUAGAUACUCGAUGAAAUUCUUUCUUAUCAAGUGCACAAAAUAAAGCAUUCAUAGCUUUGGAAUUUAGAGAAGCUUUUCUCUUUUCCAAUUCAUUCCAUUCCCUUGAAGGUUUUGGAAUAUCUUCCCCGAAUUCAUUUUUAGUUAGGGGCAAAAACAGACCAUCACAUACAACUUCCCAAAUUUCAUAAUCUAAAGCUUGCAAAUAGAUUCUCAUUCUAGUUUUCCAAUAUGCAUAGUCAUUACCGUCAAAGAACGGUGGUCUAGUUGUGGAUUGCCCUUCUCUAAAGGUUGAGUCAUUUAGGGUUGCCAUGGAUCUUUUACUCUAAACGAUUAAGUCCUAAUAAGAGAACAAGGCUCUGAUACCAAAUGAAAUUCUAGUUAUGCAACCCAAGAGGGGGGUGAAUUGGAAUUCUAAAAAUUAUUCAAUUUAUAAAAAAAAAAAACUUAAUGCAAAUAUAAACCAAAUUCAAAGCAAUAACAAAUAAGGUGAUCACAAUAUAAAAAGAUAAGGGAAGAGAGAUUCAAACACAGAGAUUUUUACGUGGUUCGGCCAACCUCGCCUACGUCCACGCCUCCAAGCUUUCCGGACUUGAGGAUUCCACUAAGCAAGCCUCAAAGGCUUCAAAUACUUACACUUGACUUCCAAGGUGUCAAUAACCUUUACUACAAGAGAUUAUCCCAAUCUCUUUAACCCAAGUGUAUCCCAAUACUUACAAUCACUCAAAACAAAAGAUUACAAAUUGGUUUUGCCUCCCACAAUAUUUAAGAUUAUACAAUGAUGCCCAAUAUGUGAAUAGAUGAAGCAAGAAUGUGUUCAAAACUCUAUGAAGAUUGUAUUCUCGAGUAUAAGCUCAAUAGUAGUGUUGUGAUCAAUCUUGUUUGAAUUUGAAUGAGCUUAUUUAUAUUUGGAGUUGAAAAACUAGCCGUUACAAACUGUCGGCCCGAAAACGGUUCGUCGUUAACCAUUAACGGUUAACCGUUUAGGCUGGUCAAAAGUAAUCGUUGGGCCAAAUUUCAAAUAAACGGUUUGCCGUUUAGGAUUACCCUUUCGCCGUUAAAUUCCAGAGACCUGCAAGAUGAACAUCAGUUAUCCGUUUACAUUAAACGGUUAAGGAUUUCCAUGAAGUGACUUCUCUGGAUAUUAUCGGUUAACCGUUUGUAAUAAACGGUUCGCCGUUUGUUUCCAGUAACCUGCAAAACAAUUUAGCCUUAUCCAGUUUUGUUAAACGGUGUCAGAAGAGUACAACCUUUAAUUCUGGAUUUUAUCAGUUAAUCGUUUAAAUAACCGGUUCACCGUUAAAUUCCAGUAGCCUUCCUAGCUUUUUUGUGUUUUCCGUUUUUCUUAAUCGGUUAGAGCUUAGGCAAUAUGUUGCUCUCUGGUUUUAAUCGGUUAACCGUUUGUAAUAAACGGUUCACCGUUUGUAAUAAACGGUUCACCGUUUGUAAUAAACGGUUCACCGUUUGUAAUAAACGGUUCACCGUUUGUUUCUAGAAUCACAUUUUAAACCAGAUUUUGCAAAGAGUCAUUUUCUAAUUUGAAAGUCCAUCUUUUAUAAAUAUAAUUGGAAUGAUUAUAAGGCUUUCAUUUAUUAAGGAAUAGCUCCAACAUUUUAAUAAAAAAAAACCAUUUAAAGUUUGUUAUCAUCAAAAUCAAUAUUAUUAACAUAUUCAUGUUAAUAGGUUCUAGAGUGCUAAAUGGAAUUCUUUGAUAUGUUUAUAGCACUAGUAUUAUUACACAUGAUAGGAAUUUGAUCAAGAUUAAUGCUAUGAUCUCUAAGUGUUUGUUUCAUCUAAAGAGUUUGUGCACAAGAACUACCUGUAGCAAUAUAUUCUACCUCAGUGGUUGAAAGUGCAACCAAUUUUUUUUUCUUACUAAACCAUGAAAAAAGAUAAUGAUCUAAAAAAUGACAUGAUCCACUAGUCCUCUUCCUAUCGAUUUUAUAACCUGCAAAAUCGACAUCUGAAUAACAAGUUAAAUCUAUAUGGGUCUUCUAGGAUACCAAAGGCGAAGAUCUAUAGUUUCAUUCAAAUAACGAAAAAUUCUUUUGACAGCAAGCAAAUGAGAUUCCUUAGGACAUGAUUGAAAUUUUGCACACAAACAUACACUAAACAUGAUAUCGGGUCUACUUGCAGUUAAGUAAAGUAAAGAGUCGAUUAUACUUUGAUACAUUUUGAUAUCAACCUCUUUACCUUUUUCAUCUUCAUCAAGCUUGAUUAUUGUGCUCAUUUGAGUGCUCUUGGUCUUUGAGUUAUCAAUGCUGAAUCUCUUGAGUAGAUCUUUGACAUUUUUAGCUUGGUUAGUGAAGAUUCCUCAUUGUUUUGUUUGAUUUGAAGUUUAACGAAAUACUUGAAUUCUCCUAUCAUGCUCAUUUCAAAUUUCUUACUCACACAAGAUGAAAACUCAUUGUAUAAAGACUCAUUAGUAGAAACAAAGAUAAUAUAAUCAACAUAAAUUUGAACAACAAGUAUAUAUUGGUUCUUAUGCUUAACAAAGAGAGACGUAUUCGCUUUUCCAAUUGAAAAACCAUUAUCCAACAAAAAAUUUUUAAGCUUAUCAUACCAUUCUCUAGGUGCUUAUUUCAAUCUAUACAAUGCUUUUGACAACUUAUAAACAUGAUUUAGAAAUUUUUCAUUUUCAAAACCAGAGAGUUGUUUCACAUACACUUCUUCCAUAAUAUAAUCAUUUAAGAAUGCACUUUUGACAUACAUUUGAUAUAAAAUGAAAUCUUUAUGAAAUGCAAAUGCUAAGAGUAUCCUAAUGGAUUCUAAUCUUGCUACAGGUGCAAAUGUUUUAUCAAAAUCAAUUCCCUCUUCUUGGUUGUACCCUUGAGCUGCUAAUCUAGCUUUAUUUCUUACAACCACAGUAGAUUCAUUGAUUUUAUUUCUAAUUACCCAUUUAGUGCUUAUAAUGGAUUGAUGUUCCGAUUUAGGAACUAAUUUCCCCACAUUGUUUCUCUCAAAUUGAUUUAACUUCGCUUGCAUUGCCAUAAUCCAAGAUUCAUCAUUUUCCGCAUCCGCAAAGGAUUUUGGUUCAAUUUGAGAUAUUAAUGUAGCAUGCUCACAAGUAUUCUAAAUGAUAAUCUAGCGGUAACACCUUUUGAAUGAUCACCUAAAUUUAAAUCCUUAGGAUGAGAAGAAACAUACUUCCACUCCUUAGGAGUAUUUGAGAAGUACUUUCUUGUUGUUCUAUAUUUGUUUGUUCUUCUUGUUUAUCCUCUUGAUUUUCAUGUAGUGCAUCCUCUUGUUUAUCUUUUGAUAAUUCUUCUUGUAACUCAUCAUAUGCAUUAUCAUUAACAACAACUUUCUCCAUAGAGAAAAGGUUAGACUCAUUAAAUAUAACAUGUAUAGAUUUUUCCGCAACCAAAGUUCUUUUAUUAUACACUCUAUAAGCUUUACUUGUUUUUGAAUAAUCAAAAAAAAUAUCAACGUUAGAUUUUGGAUCAAAUUUACCAAGAUUAUAUUUCAUAUUCAAAAUAAAACAUUUGCAUCCAAAAACUUUAAAAUAUCAAAUGUUAGGUUUUCUAUCUUUCCAAAGCUCAUAGGGAGUCUUUUUAAGAUAAAGUCUAAUCAAAACACGAUUUAAAACAUAGCAUGUGGUGUUGACAGCUUCAGCCCAAAAAUACUUAGGCAAAGUAUUUUCAUUCAACACGGUCCUAGUCAUUUCUUGAAUAAACCUAUUCUUUCUCUCAACAAUUCCAUUUUGUUGUGAAGUUCUAGGUGAUGAAAAUUGAUGCUCAAUGCUAAAAUCAUUACAAAAAUUCUCGAAUGCAUGAUUUUCAAAUUCUCCACUAUGAUCACUUUUUAUACAAGAAAUAACAUAUCCCUUUUCAUUUUGAACCUUUUUACAGAAAACUCUAAAUGCAUCAAAGACAUCAUCCUUAUUAACUAAUAAUAAAAUCUAUGUGUAUCUAGAAUAAUGAUCCACAAUCACAAAUGCAUAAUAUUUACCACUUAAACUAGCAUAUGUAGAAGGUCCAAACAAAUCCAGGCAAAGUAAUUGAAGAGGUUUUGAAAUUAAGAUAUGGUUCUUGUUUUUUAAAGAAAUUUUCAUUUGUUUUCCAAAUUGGCAAGUUUCACAAAUCCUAUCUUUUUGAAAAUCGAUUUUUGGAAGACCUAUAACCAAAUUAUUUUUCAAAAUUUUAAAAAUCAAAUCCAUGCUUGUAUGACCUAGUAUUUUACGCCAUAACCAAUCAUCAUUAUGCAAUGCGGAGAAACAUUUAUCAUUAGUAGAUGCACAAUCUAUAUCAAUGAUAUAAACAUUAACACAUCUAUUUCCUAAACAAAUCUUGCCAUCACAUGCAUUCUCAAUAACACAUUUCGAUUUAUCAAAGAUAACUCUAUAACCUUUAUCACACAAUUGACUAAUGCUAAGCCGGUUGUGUUUCAAGCUUUCAACCAAACACACAUUUUCAAUAAGUGUAGAUGAUACAUUACCAAUAUUGUCAAUACCAAUAAUAUUUCCUUUUAAAUUAUCUCCAAAUGAUACAUCUUCACCAUUUUUUAUCUUGGUAAAGCUUGAAAACCAAGAAUAAUUUUCUGUCAUUUGUCUUGAACAACCACUAUCCAGGUAUCAUUUAUUUUUUUUUUCUUCUUCAAACCAUGUAGAGGAAAUCUCAAGUCUUAGAUACUCAAAUCUUUUUGGGUCCUUGAAUGUUAGUAAUGGUUUAUUUUGAAACCUAAACACAUUUGACUCUAUAGUAUGCAUAUCUUUUCACUGGACAUCUAUAUUUCAUAUUAUCAUUUUGAUUGCAAUAAUGAUAAACAAUUCUAUGGUCACUAGUGGAGGUAGCUUUAACAAAGUAAUUCUUAUAAUACUUUUGCUUCAAGCUAGGCUUGUACCCAAGUCCUCCUUUAUCAAAUACAUAUUUUUGAGAGUUCAGCAAUUUUUUCUAAGUUUUUUUAACCACUUGUGAAUUUUAACACAAUUUCGUUGAGUUCAUUGCGCUUUUUCGCUACAGUUUGGUCGCGCUAUCACUUGGGUUUUGUCCCUAACGACUGCCACUUCAAAAUCUGACUGAAAACAGCCAUCAGAAGAUGUUAAUUUGAUCUCAAGCAGCUGUUGGAGUUCUCAUGGCUGUCAAGCUCGAUCCACCUCUGUAGCCGCAUGUUGGAGCUCACUGCCGCCACUGUAUUUUGCUAAUUUUCUAAAAUUUGAGGUUAAUUUUAUAUGUUUAUAUUUUUUGGAUAUUUUGGUAAUUUCUCACUCGCAGAUAAGAAUUUGAGGAUAAUUCAAUAAAUUAUGAUUUUGAAGAUAACUCGGUGACUUAUGAUUUCGAGAUUUCGGGGGUAUUCUUGUAGUUUGUGAUUUUAGGGUAUUUUGAUAACUUAUUAUUAUGACCUGAUUAUGAGAAUUUUCUUAUUGAUUUUAGGCCGAUGAUGUUAAUAUGCUUUCAUUGCUUGAGGAUAAGUGGCAAGAGAUAAGUAAAAUAGAUUUCUAAAUAAAUCACAACCAACAAAUAUGUAUAUGUUUGAAAUGUUUGAAAAGCUUAUUUUGAUAUGUUGUUUGAAAUGUUUGAAAAACUUAUUUUGAUAUGUAUGGAUAUGGAUUUAUAUGUUUUGUCCAUGCGUUUAUAUGGUGUAUUGAUAUGAUGUGUUGUUAUGUGUUAACCAUGUUUUCGGACAUGGGCAUAUGUGUAUGUGAAUGUUUUAUUGACAUUAGCACAAAAAUGGAUUUUUAUUUUUUAAAUGAAAUGAGAAAGUAGACGUUUUCUAUGAAUGACAAAGUGGAUUUUAGACAAACGAAAUUUGAAGAAAGAAAAUGAGUUUUACAGUUUUGGCUUGGAUGCUUGAAUUCAUUACUCACUUAGUAGAGAACACUCUAGAUGUUAUGUUAUGUUAUGUUAUGUUAUGUUAUGUUAUAUGGGUGAGGGAUGUAUUUAUGUGAAACCCAUAAUGCAUGAAAGUUAUGAGGUUAAGUUAGUAUCCUACUAGUAAUUAAAUGAAGUUAGCUCAAGUAAACAAUUUGAAGAAAAUGUGAAGUUUGAAAAUGAUGGAAAGAGAUUCUAAUGCAUUUGUUUUACAAUAUUUAUUGAAAAGGUCAUGCCAUGUAGGGGUGGGCAUUUUACCCGACCCGACUCGAAAAAUUUCGGGUUCGGGUCGGAUCAGGUUGUUACUAAAACCCGAUCGGGUGAAAAAGUUACUGACCCGAUCGGGUUGUGAUCGGAUCACCCGAACCCGACCCGAACCCGAAUACUCGAUCGAGUCACCUAAAAAAAAAACAAAUUACACAUACACAGCGGACACGCAUGCGGCACACACCACAGCCACUCACUCACAGUCACACACACAAAAUCACAACUGUGAGUCUAUGACUCUCAACUCUCAAGUCUCAGCUCUCACACACAAAAACAAAAUCACAAGAUUCACAACUCACACACACAGGCCAACCGCCACACCACAGCCACUCCACUCUCAAGUCUCCACAGAUCAUAGAGCACACUUAGUAGCCACCCACCCACCCACGCACACACAGGCCACAGCCAGUCAGCCACGCCGCGAUCUGCUGCCCAGUGCCCACUGCCGCGAUCUGCUGCCCACAUCUUGCUGGCGCGAUCUGCCCACUUCCUGCUGCCGUGAUCUGCCUUGAACUGUUGUGAACUGCUGCCUCGAUCUACCCACUUUCUACUGUCGUGAUAUGUUGCCUCGAUCUGCUGCCACCUGCCAUGUUCCACUAUCGGCCGAUCUGUUGCUCCAAGCCCAAGGUCGAAGAUUCUAAGUUCCAAGUUCCAACAGGACCAACCCGACCCGAGUUCCUCCCACUCUCACCCAAACCGAUUUGAAGCUUUGACUUCCAAGUUUCAAUUUCAAUCUUUCAUGGUAUAUUAUAUAGUUAUAUAUGCUUCUUAGUUAUUGCUUAAUUGGUUAUUUUUUAUGUAAUUGAUUAUUGUUUAAUAGUUGUAAAUUUGUAAUUAUGUAUUUUUAAAUGUUAGUAAUAAAAUAAAAAAAAUGAUGUAUUUAUGAUUUUGUUAUGAAUAAAUUUUUAUUAAUUGUUAAUAAAUAACAAAAAUUCUGUUAA
rnacentral:lncRNA from 1 species